rnacentral:rRNA from 1 species
GAUGAACGCUGACAGAAUGCUUAACACAUGCAAGUCAACUUGAAUUUGGGUUUUUAACUUAAGUUUGGGUGGCGGACGGGUGAGUAACGCGUAAAGAACUUGCCUCACAGCUAGGGACAACAUUUGGAAACGAAUGCUAAUACCUAAUAUUAUGAUAAUAGGGCAUCCUAUAAUUAUGAAAGCUAUAAGCGCUGUGAGAGAGCUUUGCGUCCCAUUAGCUAGUUGGAGAGGUAACGGCUCACCAAGGCGAUGAUGGGUAGCCGACCUGAGAGGGUGAUCGGCCACAAGGGGACUGAGACACGGCCCUUACUCCUACGGGAGGCAGCAGUGGGGAAUAUUGGACAAUGGACCAAGAGUCUGAUCCAGCAAUUCUGUGUGCACGAUGAAGUUUUUCGGAAUGUAAAGUGCUUUCAGUUGGGAAGAAAGAAAUGACGGUACCAACAGAAGAAGUGACGGCUAAAUACGUGCCAUCAGCCGCGGUAAUACGUAUGUCACGAGCGUUAUCCGGAUUUUAUUGGGCGUAAAGCGCGUCUAGGUGGUUAUGUAAGUCUGAUGUGAAAAUGCUGGGCUCAACUCUGUAUUGCGUUGUAAACUGUUUAACUAGAGCACUGGGAUAGGUAGCGGAACUUCUAGUGUAGAUGUGAAAAUUCGUAUAUAUUUGUAGAAAUGCCCAUGGGGAAAUCUGCUUACUGGAUAGAUACUGGCUGCUGGAUGCGCGAAGUCGUGUGUGGCAAACAUG